rnacentral:rRNA from 1 species
AUGAUCCCUGAUACCAAGCAGAUGGACAAGGCCGCCUUGCUGGCCAGGGUGGUGGACCAAGUGAGGCACCUCAAGAGGAGAGCAAGCGAGGCCGCACAGCUAACGCCGGCCGUCCCGCCGGAAGCCGACGUGGUCUCUGUGGAAUUCUGCUGCACCGGGGACACCGACGACGACGAUAGACGCCUGUACAUGAAGGUGUCUGUCAGCUGCGACGACCGGCCGGACCUCGUCGCCGGGCUCAUCCAGGCGCUCCAUGGCCUGAGGCUGAGGACGGUGAGAGCUGAGGUGACCUCCCUAGGAGGAAGGGUGCAGCAUGUCUUCACACUCUGCAAGGAGGAAGAGGAGGGAGGCAGUGCAGGUCGUGCUGGACUGAUUUCUCUGAAGGAGGCUGUGAGGCUGGCUCUGGCCAAGGUCGCUUCUCCAGAGCUGGUGUGUGGUGGUAGCAGCGGCAGCGGCAGUCCGCUCCAGUUGCAGAGCAAGAGGCAGAGGAUUCUUGAGUCGCAUUACUCAAUCAUGUCCAUAUAG